rnacentral:rRNA from 1 species
UCUGGUGGCUAUAGCAAGGAGGUCACACCUGUUCCCAUGCCGAACACAGAAGUUAAG